rnacentral:rRNA from 1 species
GACGAACGCUGGCGGCGUGCUUAACACAUGCAAGUCGAACGAAGAGCGAUGGAAGCUUGCUUCUAUCAAUCUUAGUGGCGAACGGGUGAGUAACGCGUAAUCAACCUGCCCUUCAGAGGGGGAGAACAGUUGGAAACGAAUGCUAAUGCCGCAUACGAUCUGACGUCGGCAUCGGGGAUAGAUGAAAGGUGGCCUCUAUUUAUCAGCUAACAAUGAAGGAGGUGGUGGAGUGGGCUUGGCAAGUUGGGGGGGGAAUGGCCCACCAAGGGGAGGAUCAGUAGCCGGGCGGAGAGAAUGAACGCCCACAUUGGGGCUGGGACGCGGCCAAGACUCCUGCGAGAGGCAGCAGUGGCGAACCUGCCGCAAUGGAGGAGAGUCUGACGGAGCGACGCCGCGCGAGAGAUGACGGCCCUCGGGUUGUAAUGCUCUGUUAAUCGGGACGAAAGGCCUUCUUGCGAAUAGUUAGAAUGAUUGACGGUACCGGAAGAGAAAGCCACGGCUAACUACGUG